rnacentral:lncRNA from 1 species
CUUUGGAUAUAGCAGCUGAAAACCCUGAGAGUCCCCAAAGAGUUCCAAGCUUUCACCAUGACUGCUGGGUGGGGGUGAUGCUCCUUCAGUGUUGGUGAAGACUUAAGUCUUUUCCUCAUCUCUUUCCUGAUGUUUGGGGCCUUCUCCAUGGGCCGGAACUUGGGCCAGGGUCUUGGAAGAGCCUCUCCUCUCUCAUAACCUCACGCAAGCUGAUUAAUGAAAACAAACUUUUUUUUUUUUUUUUAGUUUACUUAUUUGACUUCCUUUAUAAACGUUUCCAACCAGGUUUUAUGCCUGGUAAUGAAAUUAUGCUUAUUUUUAAACUUCUAAAAAUGUUUCCGUCAUCCUUGAGUUGGCUGGAAUUUCAAUUUAUUCAGGCAUGGAUUAUUCAAAAAGAAGCUUGCUGUAUUUGGCAAAUGGUCACAUCUCAAAUAUGAACAUCACCCAGAGGUUACCCAGGUGAUCCCAGGCCAUCUCGGGAUGUCCUCCACAUUCCACAAUUCAGUAGCCAAAGGAUUGAACUGAUACCUGCAGAAGACUUCCUGGAUUCCCUCUCCAAGACCCACAAUCCACUAUGAUUGGAUAAGGCCUACCCUCUAAUUGAUCAGUACUACACACACACACACACACACACACACACACACUCACUCACCAAGGCUUGGUUUCCUUUUCUAAAAAACAAAAGAGGGUAAAGGAAUGCCCUCCCAAGUCUCUUUCUAAAAUUUUCAAGUUCUACAGGCUCAGUAGGCAUCCAGCCUCUCAGCACUACCCUAUGUCCCCUAUGCCCACGUAGAUAAACUUGUUUUAAUAAAAGCUAACUUCCGAUUUAGCACACAGUAUUAAGAAUUAAAGUUGGAUGAAGCUAUUACUGUUACGAAUAGCCUUGGGCUAUUUUUCAAUUCACCUAUGUCAUACGUCAAGUGAUUAAGAAAAUCAAAUGCUGUAUCCAGGAAAAUAGAACAUGAAAAGGCAGGAAUAAUGUGUGUCUUUAGGACACCCAUUUGAACACAAAAGAAUUAGGGCCCAAAUUUCACUAUAUGUCAAAUGUGAAUUUAUUUCUAUAAAAGGCUUCAGAACUCUCUAAGCUUUGCAUUGUCUGAAGAGUGCUACAGAGCCAUCUGUGACUUGUAGUGGUUGCAUCCAGAUCUUUGAAAAUGCUUUUUCUUCUUAAUCAAGUUAGGAUAUUGGAUUUCCAGAAGAGUAGGAUCUCUAUAUUUUGAUACUCGCCUGAUUUCUUAAAGCUCCUAAAGGUGCCUUUUGACUUCCUAACUGAUUCUAACAAACACAUGGCUUCAGUCUAUCUGGCUUCCCCUUUGUCUAAGAACACUGACAUUAGGAGUUGCCAAUUGGCACCUCUAUGUGGACACCUUCCACCCAGAAACCAUGUUGAGUUUUCAGGUUUCACAAUGAUGCUGAUUUGAGUCAGCACUGUUGGAAAUGAGGGUCUUUUUAAAAAUGCUUCAGAUUCCCAGUUAUUCCUACCUUUGUCUCUUCAGUCCUCAACAUCCUCUGGGGCAAAACUAGAGAGCUGCACUGUUUCUGUGUGAGGUGAACCUGCGUCCACAGAGGAGCAGCACUCACGUUCCCCACUCAAGACCUGUGUAAUUUAUUUGUAGCAAAGCUCCAUCCUUAAUUCACUAUUAUCUUGUCUUUCUGGCAUCCUCCUUCCCUCUGUGCUAUGCAUGUUGGGGUCGGUGAGGGGAGCAAUGACCCAGAGAGGGGCAUCUUUUGCAUGGCAAAGUCCUUUGGAUGAGCUGAGGAUUCCCAUCUUGACUGAAGUUUUCCAGUUUUUAAAUCUCAUCUUUCAUUUUGUGAUGCUUGAUAAAGAUAGCAAAGUAAUAUGAGUUAGUAAAUGUUAACACGUGCCGCAAAUACAAAAGCAGUUUAUUCUGUCAUUGAUAAUGGAGGAAAAUAUGCAAUAAUAGUAUUGAAUUUGCACUCAUAGGUAAAAGCCUUCAUUGCAAAGCAAAAUCUGAUUUUUGUUUGUGACCAGCAUGAAUGCUGACCUCUGCCCUUUGAAUGAUCUUUCCGUCUCCCGGAAAGUUCAUGAAAAGGUCAUGGAGCUGCGCUGACUUCCUCUGUGUGUGCAUGGACGUGUCUUUGCUAUUGAUCCAGGAAAAGACCAUUCUGUGGUUUUGUUCAUUUUAUUUUUAAUGGAAACCUAAUCAGUAAUUAUAAAAUGUUUCUAGAAGAAUUCACGCCUGAGUAAGUGAAGAAAGCUAACCUCAUUUCAUGCUGAUUAUUUAACCUUGGUCAUAACUCCCAAUUAAAUGCAUUUCUUGAACCCGUAACAAAGCAAAAUAUGGCACUUACUGGUCAGAAAUUCAAAGCAGGAGAGAGAAAAAAUGGCUUAAUAGCUGGAAAUAAAAACAUCAGUGAAUUUUUCUUAUGGAUUCCUUCAUGUCAAAUUCAUAUCAUGAGUGACUCGCAGUUUUCCCUUUAGAUCAUCUUGGCAUCAUCGAGGAGCAAAAAUAAAAAUGAUUUCUAG